rnacentral:rRNA from 1 species
GAUAAACGCUGGCGGCGCACAUAAGACAUGCAAGUCGAACGAACUUAAUACCUUGCUUGCAAGGUAAGCGGUUAGUGGCGGACUGGUGAGUAACACGUAAGAAAUCUGCCUAUCAGAGGGGAAUAACAGUGAGAAAUCACUGCUAAUACCGCAUAUGCCAUAAUUAUCGCAUGAUAGUAGUGGGAAAGAAGCAAUUCGCUGAUAGAUGAGCUUGCGGCUGAUUAGCUAGUUGGUGGGGCAAAGGCCUACCAAGGCGACGAUCAGUAGCCGGACUGAGAGGUUGAACGGCCACAUUGGGACUGAGAUACGGCCCAG